ACAACUCACCUGUCAAAUCAACGAGCAGUGAAAAUGGGUAGCUCUGAAGGGUCAGGCCCAUAUCUGGCCGCCUUGGGGGACCCAGUCCUUCUGAUCGAGGCCCCCAGCCUGUGGAUGGUGUGAGGCUGAUAGUGGCCCCCGGCGUGCCAGGCCUGGGUCUUCCGGAGUCAGGUUGCUUGGGAACGCAGCCCAAAGCAGGUGGUAAACUCCAUCUAAGGCUGAAUACCAGCAUGAUACCAACAGUCAACAAGUACCAUAAGA
rnacentral:ncRNA from 1 species